GUCUAUAGCAGAGGCCAAAACCCAGCUGGAUCUGCUGAGGAAUCACAGUUGCUGAGCAGGAUGAUGUCAUCUAGAGACAGUGUGGUGAAAUUCAGGAUUCCAUCUUGAGAGAAGAACAGCCAUAGGCCUAUCAUGUGGAAGAGAUACCCACAGGGAUCAAAGGAGGAAUAUAGAAAAUGGAAUGAGGACAAUCUGUAUCUGCUCUAGCAACAUCUUUGAGAGACAGGACAAGGAGAAGAGAGUCACGGUCUCCUAGCAAAACUCAAGAACAUACCUUUCUACCUACCAAGGCCCAGCUGGAGGAUGCAAUGUGGGACAAAGACUCAAAAUAAUGAGCAUUAAAAAUUAUUCUCCAGGAAAUUAAGAUUGCUGUGGGAUUCACUCCUUUCAUCCAAAUAUCUCUUUCUAGAUCCUCAGUUUGAUGAUGAUUUAUCUCUGAUACAAAUAAUUUUCAAUAAUAAAAGUGAAGGGGCAGCUAAUUGGUGUGAAACACAAGUAACUUUGGUAUUGUAACAAGUAAUGCCUCUCAAAAGGGAAGACAUUUGAGACUUGUGUACCAGGAUCACAUUUAAAAUCUGGUGCUACUCUGAAAACUGAACUGUAUACAAAUAACAUCAUUUAUGUCUAUGUUUGUUGGGUCUCAUUGAUUCCAGAUCCAAUGUGCUCAGUUUACAAACAAAAUGAUGUAUUUUCUAAGUGCCAGCCCUGCAGACUCAACCUAAGCUCUCAGAGUCAAGAUGGAUUAUUUCCUUCUCACACUUCAUUCCAAUAAUAAAGAUUCUGCAG